CCGAUCACCUGGCACACCUGCCCGAUCGCGCCGGCGCCGGUGAACUCGUCGGUGAUCUUCCCGCUGGGGCCUCCGCCGGAUGUCUUCGCCGGAGUUGGCGACGGCGCCGCCGCGGCGGCGGAGGUGGCGUACUCGACGGCGCGGGAGAGGAGGNUCUUCCCGCUGGGGCCUCCGCCGGAUGUCUUCGCCGGAGUUGGCGACGGCGCCGCCGCGGCGGCGGAGGUGGCGUACUCGACGGCGCGGGAGAGGAGGGAGGAGGCAGAGGGGCGGCGGCGAGAGGCGGAGCGGAGGAGGGAGGAGAGGACCCGGCGAGACGCCAUGGCCGGAUCUAGGGGUUUUCC
rnacentral:lncRNA from 1 species